GACGUCAAUCUAAUGUAGAAUGUUCUGCUCUGUAUGUUACCAUGAGCAACAGCUGGGGUAUGUUGCAUGUUUGGUCUGGGACUGACGUCUUGUCUUUUUCACCAGUGUUUAUCUAUGACUUUGUCCGAGUCUCCAAGGAGGCCAGUAGGAGAUCUGAUGCUCUAGCUGCUGCCAAACUGAAGAGAAAACAACCACCCACUGUUGAACCAGUCAACUUGAUCCAAAUGUACCCUCUAUGAUACCUUACUCUGAGUGGCGUUCACUUGCUUGAAUAUGUGAUCCCUGGCUAAGUUAAGUGUAGGCUAUACUGACUGCAGGGUCUUACAUUCUGUUGUAACAAUGGCCCGCUUUAGAGCGGGAGCGCAUCGCUGCAUAGUUUCGUUUGAAAAAUACAUCAUCCACGGCUAAUGAUUUGGAGGCGAAUUUUCCCAAGAACGAAUCUGAGUCCACUGUACAAUUUGCAGACUCUACAAAACCAGAGUGCUGUCAGCCUUAGAGAGUGAGAACCUCUGCCUGAGUCUCAGCUGACUGAUGCUUGCAUCAACUACCACGUCUUUUACCCAGUGAUAUUUAAUGGAAGGAACAGAAAUCAAAUCUCCAAAUAAGAUCAUGUUGAGACUGCCACCUUUGAAGACUGCCACUUUCUGUCUCGUCACUAAUCCCCAUAACAAUGACUGUUUAACAGUUUAAUGCAACCCUCAGGUUUCAACCCUUUAGGAUAGACCAGUGAGGAGACAAUACUUCCAGGCAUAAUGUACAUGAUUUUAAAAAGCCCCAGGCAUCGAAGCAUCUUUCAAAGCCUGCUCUCUGUCAUCUUUUAGUUUGACCCUCCUAUUGAGACACUCAUCCCUUUUGGCAUAGCUUUUGAAUGAGCUUUAGUUUAUUACGGUGUCUGUGACUUUCCUAUGAUGAAGCACUGCAGAACAACACAAAUCAACGUUUAUUGGUGCGUCCACAGUUCUGCACGUUAUCGCAGGUGCAGCGAGAUGCUUAUGUUUCGAGCUCCAACAAUGCAGC
rnacentral:lncRNA from 1 species